rnacentral:lncRNA from 1 species
AUGGAGCCCAGGCGCCGGCGGGCCUUUCUGGAACAAGGAAAGGGAGUGGAAGCUUUGGCGGUGCAGCUGGCGAUCCGUUUCGGAUUCCUCAUUCUUUGUUGUGAUUACUUUGCGCGGAUUUGGCCUGAUAACAAACGGGAGAGGUGGAUAGCAAGGUGGAAGCUUCACCCUUGCCCCUGGCAUUCAUAUACCCAGAGUCUGGAAUGUUAUCCUCAGCCUGGCGGAGAAUAACGCGACACAGACUUGGUGACUCUCAUUGCCCUCUCUGAGCCAAGGGUAACGCUGCAGGUAUUGGGUAAGUCCAUCACUUUUCUUUUGGACACUGGAGCUACCUACUCUGUUUUGAUAUCUCACUCAGAUAUUACAGUUCCCUCACCAAUUUUUGUCAUGGGGGUAGACAAGACCCUUUCCUUCCCACUAAAGACCCUGCUAUUUCCCUGCAUUCUUGAAGGGAAAUUCUUCUUUCACUCUUUCCGAGUCAUACCUGCUUGCCUGGCACCUCUACUUGGUUGUGAUAUUCUCACCUUGGCCCCAACACUCUCCUGACUUCAACUUUCUUCCCUUAAUAGCCUCACAGGUUCCUACCUGUAAGGAGCUUAUUUAUAACCAAGCAGGCAAAGGCCUGGUUCAGGGAGAUUAAAAGAAAGGGAGUAUAGGCCCACUACCCAGCCAUUGUAGAUAAAAGCGAGAAUGUGUGGAGUGUGGACAAGUGUGAUUAGCAAGAUUUAGCAAACGAUUUAAGGACCAGCUCAGAACUGGGAACUUUAGAUUGUACCACGACUCUAUGUCCUGGACUCUCCUCCGCUAACCUGAAACCACCAGUCCAUCAAGCUGAGUGCUGCCCGUGCUGAACCUGAUUCCACAACACCAGGCCCUCAGCCUGAAUCCAGAGGAACAGAACUUGCAGGCUGCUGCAGGACAGGUACCCCCUGCUGUGAGCCUAUUGUCUAUGGAUUGUUUGCUUAUGCUUGUGUGUUACUUUGACAUUAAGUGUGAAGUAAAACUUUUAUGCUCAAAACCAGUUCACUGAGUUUGCCAUUCCUCCCAGGUCAAAACCUGGUAAGGGCUCAAGACACUACCCCAGACUGUCCUGUCCCUACCCCCCCCUUAUCCAGUGGAUCCCCAAGUAUGGGAUAUUUCCACUCCAGUGGUUGCUACUCACCACCAACCAAUCCUAGUUCACCUUAAGGACUCUUCUUCCUUCCCUUCCAUACCACAGUUACCUAUUUCUUUCUUUCUUUCUUUUUUUUUUUGGUUUUUCCUGACAGGGUUUCUGUCUCGCGCAAUCGCCUCGCCAGCAAGAACCACACAGGACAUUCGGAUCCUUCUGCAGUAAAGCUUUUAAUGCGUCUUGAGAGGAGAGCAUAAGCUUACCAGAGCGGAGACCCCGAGCCAAGAAUCCCGUCCCCUAAUAAAGGCUGGCAGCUGCCGCCUGGGACAUGUCACCCUAUGAUUGGCUGCAGCUCAUCAGGCCAUAUGACGCCACGGAAUAGGCAGAGAUCAAGGAAUGGAAAAUUACCCAGCGCCUGUGCAAUAAUCUUGUUUACAUUCAGUGCCUGCAGGCGCCAUCAUUGUAAUGGAGAAUGCAGGGACGGCUCCCUACAUCUCCCCCCUUUUUUUAUUAAUUAAUGAUAAGGCUUUAUAUUUUUACAAGCAAAUAGGUCACCCAUAUGUUGAGGGAUAGAGGCAGAGGUUGUACCUUCCCAAUCAAACAUUAAGACUGCGUACAAGAGUCGCCAUCAGGCUGUUAGCUUG